rnacentral:rRNA from 1 species
GAAGAAGCACCGGCUAACUCUGUGCCAGCAGCCGCGGUAAUACAGAGGGUGCAAGCGUUGUUCGGAAUUAUUGGGCGUAAAGCGCGUGUAGGCGGCUUUGCAAGUCGGGUGUGAAAGCCCUCAGCUCAACUGAGGAAGUGCGCCCGAAACUGCAGAGCUUGAGUGCCGGAGAGGGUGGCGGAAUUCCCCAAGUAGAGGUGAAAUUCGUAGAUAUGGGGAGGAACACCGGUGGCGAAGGCGGCCACCUGGACGGUAACUGACGCUGAGACGCGAAAGCGUGGGUAGCAAACAGGAUUAGAUACCCUGGUAGUCCACGCCGUAAACGAUGAUGACUAGCUGUCGGGGGCCAUGGGCUUUCGGUGGCGCAGCUAACGCAUUAAGUCAUCCGCCUGGGGAGUACGGCCGCAAGGUUAAAACUCAAAGAAAUUGACGGGGGCCUGCACAAGCGGUGGAGCAUGUGGUUUAAUUCGAAGCAACGCGCAGAACCUCACCAGCGUUUGACAUCCUGAUCGCGGUUACCAGAGAUGGUUUCCUUCAGUUCGGCUGGAUCAGUGACAGGUGCUGCAUG